rnacentral:rRNA from 1 species
UACGGGGGGAGCAAGCGUUGUUCGGAUUUACUGGGCGUAAAGGGCGCGUAGGCGGUCAGCACAAGUCAAUUGUGAAAUCUCCGAGCUUAACUCGGAAACUGCAUUCGAUACUGCCGUGCUUGAGGACUGGAGAGGAGACUGGAAUUUACGGUGUAGCGGUGAAAUGCGUAGAUAUCGUAAGGAAGACCAGUGGCGAAGGCGGGUCUCUGGACAGUUCCUGACGCUGAGGCACGAAGGUCAGGGGAGCAAACGGG